ACCCCCCGGGACCCCUUUAGUGGUGUAUAGUGGUAUAGCGUGUAUAGUGGUGAAUAGUGACUACAUUGCCCUCUAGUGGCAGCCUGAGGUUAUUAGGCAUAAAACUCGGUUCCCUUUAGGUAGGAAGGUCAAUUGAUUGUUUCCCAGCGAGGGUGUGCUGAAGAUGCUCAGAGGAUAAAGACUCUUGUUGAUUUCAUGGGCUAACAAAUCUUCCUUUUGUCACAGCACAGUGUGAUAAAGAAACUAGAGCAGCAGGUUGAAAGAUGGAGGAGCACUUUGAGGAAGCACUCAGUUCUCCCGGUCUUGGGGCGACUUUUAAAAACAUCUUACAUUUUUAAAAUGUACUAUUUUUUUUAUGUACCUCAUUAGCUUAUGUGGAGCAGAGCCCUAAGAUGAAGCAUUCACCAAUGCUUCCCAAAGCCCAAGCACAGGUUUCCCCUCUGGGCAAGCCAGCUCUGCAGCAGAUGAGGAGGUCUCCCUUUUUCUUAGCUGAAAAGGACACUCCAUAUACCAGUACGCAGCAGUGCGGGAGAGGACACACAUCGUGUCCGAUGUGGUUUCCAGGCAGAGCGGCUAUGGAGACAGACGUGUUGAGAGGUGCAUACAGAUUUCUGCUCCCUAAUUGAGCAGAGAUGAAUUAUCCAGCCCUGACUACCAGCACGGAUGAUGAAACAAUGCAUUUUUAGACUCUUCUCCGGGGCCACUGAAACUACCUGCAUCCACAUUCACUGGGGGAAUCUGAAGUGUCCAUAUACCAUCAAGGUGCUAUCCAGGCUUGCCAGAAUCAAUGUCUUAAGAGAUUUCCUGGAAUCGGCAGUUUUUAAGAAGUCUGCACGGAAUUUAUGGACCCUAAAUACAGUUGCAUGAUAAUCACUCA